GACGAACGCUGGCGGCGUGCCUAAUACAUGCAAGUCGAGCGCAGGAAACCGUCUGAACCCUUCGGGGGGACGACGGCGGAAUGAGCGGCGGACGGGUGAGUAACACGUAAAGAACCUGCCCAUAGGUCUGGGAUAACCACGAGAAAUCGGGGCUAAUACCGGAUGUGUCAUCGGACCGCAUGGCCCGCUGAUGAAAGGCGCUUCGGCGUCGCCCAUGGAUGGCUUUGCGGUGCAUUAGCUAGUUGGUGGGGUAAUGGCCCACCAAGGCGACGAUGCAUAGCCGACCUGAGAGGGUGAUCGGCCACACUGGGACUGAGACACGGCCCAGACUCCUACGGGAGGCAGCAGUAGGGAAUCUUCCACAAUGGACGAGAGUCUGAUGGAGCAACGCCGCGUGAACGAUGAAGGCUUUCGGGUCGUAAAGUUCUGUUGUAAGGGAAGAACAAGUGCCGCAGGCAAUGGCGGCACCUUGACGGUACCUUGCGAGAAAGCCACGGCUAACUACGUGCCAGCCGCCGCGGUAAAAC
rnacentral:rRNA from 1 species